AACGAACGCUGGCGGCAUGCCUAACACAUGCAAGUGGAACGAGACCUUCGGGUCUAGUGGCGCACGGGUGCGUAACGCGUGGGAACCUGCCCUUAGGUUCGGAAUAACUCCCCGAAAGGGGUGCUAAUACCGGAUAAUGUCUUCGGACCAAAGAUUUAUCGCCUUUGGAUGGGCCCGCGUUGGAUUAGCUAGUUGGUAGGGUAAAAGCCUACCAAGGCGACGAUCCAUAGCUGGUCUGAGAGGAUGAUCAGCCACACUGGGACUGAGACACGGCCCAGACUCCUACGGGAGGCAGCAGUGGGGAAUAUUGGACAAUGGGCGAAAGCCUGAUCCAGCAAUGCCGCGUGAGUGAUGAAGGCCUUAGGGUUGUAAAGCUCUUUUACCCGGGAUGAUAAUGACAGUACCGGGAGAAUAAGCUCCGGCUAACUCCGUG
rnacentral:rRNA from 1 species